AUUUGCGUACCAGCUGAUUGUUUGGUUUCCUGAAUUGAUUGUUUAGUUGACUGAUAGCAAAUAAUUUCUGGAAAUAUAAUCAUCUUUUCAUCGUUAUAUCUCUAUAGUUGUUAAUCCAACAAAAAUUACAGAUAUUGUAUUUAUUUAAUAGAAUCUAGCGGUAACAUAAGAUGUGAAGAAAAAUGCUUAGAACAGAAGAAAAAACGAGUGAACAUCCCUUCGUUUUGAAAAUUGUAGGAAACAAUCAGUGUUAACUAGUUAUGCACAAUUCGGAAUAAGGGAAUAAAAUGAAAAAAUGUUGUAUUUCCUCCUGUCCUAAGCCUGAAAAUUUGGUUUGUUUUGACAUACCAAAAGAUCUUGAGAGAAGAAAGGAGUGGAUGAUCAACAUCAACAGAGAUCCAAAUGUUCUUUCAGUAACAAAUGAUGAUGCUGCUGCUGCAGUCUGUUCACUUCAUUUUAAACAGAGACUGGUAUAGCAAUUAUACUGCAGAGAUGGAAAUUGCACAACUGAAUGAAAGAUCCUCACAUUCAACUGAUUCUCAAACUUCAAUUCCAAACAUGGGGCUCCCAGAGGGGAGGCAGUUCAGCUGGGGAAUGUUGAAUCACUUGGCAUUAACACUUAUGUCGCUGUUGUUGAAAAUGCAUGUCCUGAUUCUUCUGCCAAUGAUUCAAAUAGAUUAAGUACAGAAAAUAGGAAAAACUUGUUAGUGAAGUCCAUACAGUCAAAGUCUACUCAUCAAGGGAUACAACUUUCAACAUCCACGUCUAAUUCGACUUCUCGUGUUGAGACCUCCGAAGACGAAGACAUCAAUUGUUUUA
rnacentral:lncRNA from 1 species